rnacentral:rRNA from 1 species
UACGGAGGGGGCGAGCGUUAUGCGGAAUUAUUGGGCGUAAAGGGCGCGUAGGCGGCUUCAUAAGUCAAAGGUGAAAUCCCUCGGCUCAACUGAGGAACUGCCUUUGAAACUGUGGAGCUUGAGGCCGGGAGGGGGUAGCGGAAUUCCCAGUGUAGCGGUGAAAUGCGUAGAUAUUGGGAGGAACACCAGUGGCGAAGGCGGCUACCUGGACCGGAACUGACGCUGAUGCGCGAAAGCGUGGGUAGCAAACAGG